UGGGGAAUAUUGGGCAAUGGAGGAAACUCUGACCCAGCGACGCCGCGUGCGGGAUGAAGGCCUUCGGGUUGUAAACCGCUUUCAGUAGGGAAGAAGCGAAAGUGACGGUACCUACAAAAGAAGCACCGGCUAACUAUGUGCCAGCAGCCGCGGUAAUACAUAGGGUGCAAGCGUUGUCCGGAAUUAUUGGGCGUAAAGAGCUCGUAGGUCGUUUGUUACGUCGGAUGUGAAAACCUGAGGCUCAACCUCAGGCCUGCAUUCGAUACGGGCAAACUAGAGUUUGGUAGGGGAGACUGGAAUUCCUGGUGUAGCGGUGGAAUGCGCAGAUAUCAGGAGGAACACCAAUGGCGAAGGCAGGUCUCUGGGCCAAUACUGACACUGAGGAGCGAAAGUCUGGGGAGCAAACAGG
rnacentral:rRNA from 1 species